rnacentral:lncRNA from 13 species
CACGGCAGGGCUCUGGAGCCUCCUGCGCCGCCUGCCAGGCUGCCUGCACCACAGAGGCCAAACAGGCAGCCGGCACAUCCUGCCUCAUUGAAGUGGUAAUUUCCUUUGGGGGUUUCAGUCAAGUGCAGCCCUGGGAAAAUCACGGCGAAGAGCUUUCCGAGAGGAAGAGUUCCCUGCACUUCCCAGAGAGUUGUAAAGCUCAGGAACUUUCUCUAUUGCUGGACGCGAGCCUCUCCAGAGAAGGAUUUCAAGACGUAAAUGCCAUUUUUCACCAGUCUUACCCCUUUGCAACAUCCCAUAUGGGACGAUGCUUUUCUGAGGCUUCAGGAUCCCUUCGUUUCUAUUAGACCAUGAGGCGUGAUGUUCAUUCCAGUAAAAUGCGCAUGCAGGUGCCCAGAGACUGGAGGUGAAUUGGAACUUAGAGGUCUUUUCUCACUUAUAUUUGUCUCUGUUAAUCUGUUCAUGGUGUGUGUGUUUGUGUGUGUGUGUGUGUGUGUGUGAUUGUAUAUAUUUGAUAGUUACAGGAAAAAAAGGACCAUUCUAAAUUGCUGAAGUUAAAAGAGUCAGAUUCAUGUUUGAAGAAAAAGGUGCCUAAUUUCUGUUUGAUCCACCCCUUAUGUAUCUCAUCAGUAAUCUCUCUAAUCUGGAUGAACUGGUCUUCACACAUGUCUAUUUUGUGCAUACAGAGUGUUACUGAUCAGUCACAUCAUACACGUCUCAGCUGCCUUUCUUUGAAUUAAAGAAUCUGGACAGCAAAAUCAGAACACUAGCAUUGUCAAUACGGCAUUGAGUUGUCAUGUACAGGCAUAAAAGACAUUAAAAUGCAGACUCGGCUGGGACAAUUUUAUUUGUGAUUCUCCCGAAUCAGGGACAAGAUGCCUUUGUUUUACAAAGAAAAUAUUAGCAGGAUCAGGCUCUUCUGGCACAAAAGCAGGUGGAAGAAUAUACACUCCCUCCUAACCAGGGAAAGGGAGGGGAAAAGAAAGGAGGGAGGGAGGGGAGAGAGAGAGAACAUAAAAGACUGAGCAGGAAGGACACUGUGCGACUGUGGAAAUGGGCUCCUUUCGUGUAAGAACAAUUACCCAGUCCCUGCAGCUGUUCACUAGACUUAAUGCCCCAAUGCAUUCUGCAUCUAUGUUUCCUUUUACCUUUUCCAUGUUUAUUAAUUUCCACAGUUGAAACCAGAAGUGAAACAGAGCAAUUCUCCCCUUGCUAUAGAGGGUGGACCGCAGCAGUCACCUUUGCUUGCAGCAUGCUUAGUGAAUGCCAGCACUAAGUACCUUACAUAUAUCAUCACAUGGAAUCCUCACAAUACUCCUUUGAAUGAGGAAUGAUCACCCCUAAUUU